AUGCACGGUUAUGAUAAACGGCGACUGUUUUGGAUAAUCUGGUCUAAGAGCUUCUUGAGAAAAAAAAUCAUAAUCACGCAGUUUGGCAACAACAAUGCUGAGAUUAAGUUCAGCAAGGGAGCUGAACAACCUUUUACAGUGUCCACUCUCACAAAUACUCUGGUUGGUAGUUGUUUGCCCACUCCUGAUCGAGAUGAAUUAUGGAUGUCUGUUGUUCCACUGAUAGAUUGGUUUGAUUUUUCAGGCCUGCUUUGCAACUGCGAGGCUCCAGUUUCUGUUGAUCUUAAUGUAAGACCAGGAGAUGAAGUGAUGGAGAUGAAUUUAGCAUUUUAA
rnacentral:rRNA from 1 species